rnacentral:rRNA from 1 species
UACGUAGGGUGCGAGCGUUGUCCGGAAUUAUUGGGCGUAAAGAGCUCGUAGGCGGUGUGUCGCGUCGGUCGUGAAAACUUGGGGCUUAACCCUGAGCUUGCGGUCGAUACGGGCAUCGCUGGAGUUCGGCAGGGGAGACUGGAAUUCCUGGUGUAGCGGUGAAAUGCGCAGAUAUCAGGAAGAACACCCGUGGCGAAGGCGGUUCUCUGGGACGGUACUGACGCUGAGACGCGAAAGCGUGGGGAGCGAACAGG